CAACAAAAAUCCGCCCGGGAAUUACAAACAUUAGUUUAAAACCCAAAGGACUUGGCGGUGCUUAACACCCCCCUAGAGGAGCCUGUUCUAGAAUUGAUAACCCCCGUUAAACCUCACCCUCCCUUGUUUUACCCGCCUAUAUACCACCGUCGUCAGCUUACCCUGUGAAGGCUUAAUAGUAAACAAAAUUGGCAUACCCCAAAACGUCAGGUCGAGGUGUAGUGUAUGGGAGGGGAAGAAAUGGGCUACAUUUGCUAACAAUAGCAAAUACGAAUGAUGCAUUGAAACAUGCAACUGAAGGAGGAUUUAGUAGUAAGCAGAAAAUAGAGUGUCCU
rnacentral:rRNA from 1 species